UCACGCCCGAAGUCGUUACUCCAACCCUUGUGGAGGAGGAUGCCGAAGGUGGGGCUGAUGACUGGGGUGAAGUCGUAACAAGGUAGCCGUACCGGAAGGUGCGGCUGGAUCACCUCCUAACAGGGAUACAAUAACUAAUUGUGAUGUCUGAGUAAUUUAUUCUCAGGCCAUGAUUCUGUCAUCUCUAAGGUCGAUCGGUACCUCAAUUUAAGAAUUCAAGAUGAACUGAGCAAUCAGUUUGGAGAUGAAGGUCUUAACUUCAGUUCCUAAACUUUGUCUAGGUCACCCAACAGCGGGUAAAGCCGAGAGCACAUGUAAUUUAAUUAUUUGUGUUGAUCUGGCAAGCCGAAAGGCGAGCUAGU
rnacentral:misc_RNA from 1 species